rnacentral:rRNA from 1 species
GACGAACGCUGGCGGCGUGCUUAACACAUGCAAGUCGAACGGGCCCGCCCCUGUUUUUGGGGGUGGGUUGAGUGGCGAACGGGUGAGUAUCACGUGAGUAACCUGCCCCCUGCUCCUGGAUAACUGCUUGAAAGGGCGGCUAAUACGGGGUGUGCCGGCUGGUCCGCAUGGGCCUGGUCGGGAUAGUUUCAUCUUCGGGUGUUUCGGUGGGGGAUGGGCUCGCGGCCUAUCAGCUUGUUGGUGGGGUGAUGGCCCACCAAGGCGGUGACGGGUAGCCGGCCUGAGAGGGUGGGCGGCCAAACUGGGACGGAGACACGGCCCAGACUCCGGCGGGAGGCAGCAGUGGGGGGUAUUGCACAAUGGGCGGAAGCCUGAUGCAGCGACGUCGCGUGAGGGAUGGAGGCCUUCGGGUUGUGAACCUCUUUCUCCGGUGGUGAAGGCCCUGUCCGUUGCGGCGGGGUUGACGGUAGCCGGGUAUGAAGCGCCGGCUAACUACGUG